rnacentral:rRNA from 1 species
AACGAACGCUGGCGGCAUGCCUAACACAUGCAAGUCGAACGAGACCUUCGGGUCUAGUGGCGCACGGGUGCGUAACGCGUGGGAACCUGCCCUUAGGUUCGGAAUAACUCCCCGAAAGGGGUGCUAAUACCGGAUAAUGUCUUCGGACCAAAGAUUUAUCGCCUUUGGAUGGGCCCGCGUUGGUUUAGCUAGUUGGUAGGGUAAAAGCCUACCAAGGCGACGAUCCAUAGCUGGUCUGAGAGGAUGAUCAGCCACACUGGGACUGAGACACGGCCCAGACUCCUACGGGAUGCAGCAGUGGGGAAUAUUGGACAAUGGGCGAAAGCCUGAUCCAGCUAUGCCGCGUGAGUGAUGAAGGCCUUAGGGUUGUAAAGCUCUUUUACCCGGGAUGAUAAUGACAGUACCGGGAGAAUAAGCUCCGGCUAACUCCGUG